rnacentral:tRNA from 1 species
GGGCCCGUGGUCUAGCGGUUUAUGACGCCUCCCUGUCACGGAGGAAAUCGCCGGUUCGAAUCCGGUCGGGCCCG